rnacentral:rRNA from 1 species
UAGGGAAUCUUCCACAAUGGACGAAAGUCUGAUGGAGCAACGCCGCGUGAGUGAAGAAGGGUUUCGGCUCGUAAAGCUCUGUUGGUAGUGAAGAAAGAUAGAGGUAGUAACUGGCCUUUAUUUGACGGUAAUUACUUAGAAAGUCACGGCUAACUACGUGCCAGCAGCCGCGGUAAUACGUAGGUGGCAAGCGUUGUCCGGAUUUAUUGGGCGUAAAGCGAGUGCAGGCGGUUCAAUAAGNCUGAUGUGAAAGCCUUCGGCUCAACCGGAGAAUUGCAUCAGAAACUGUUGAACUUGAGUGCAGAAGAGGAG